rnacentral:rRNA from 1 species
GCCAGCAGCCAGAUUACCCUGCAACUCACAACUGGCAGCCCACUGAAGCUCAGCGGGUGUGAGCCUGGUCAGUACCUGGAUGGGAGACCUCCUGGGAAAAACUAAGGUUGCUGCUGGAA